CCGCCUCUGGAAUCGGAUGAAGAUUUGAGGUACCGUGAGCAGCCGCAGAGCCGAAGUUUGGAAGCGGCAGCCGCCGAAACAGACCCCGGGGACCGUAUCGACAUCCACGGCGCCCGUGCGUUCAUUUCCAUCGAGGACGCAUUUUGUCGGCUCGUCUUCCAAAAGCUAAGUGUCGGGACCGGUGGUGGGGGACAAGGGAAAACCCUUUGGAAUUGCAGGAGGCAAUUUGAAGUUAGCUUAGAGGAGAGGGCCGUAGAGGGGUAGGUCCCUCGGAAGUAAAGGGAGAGGGUUUCUCCUCAGCAUCGCCCGACCUUUUGCCGGGCGGGACGGUUCCGACCCGUCUCCGCGUUCUCACGAGCUUCGCGUCGUCGGCCUUCUCCGAGUCUCGACGUCGUCGCGGAUCUUUUCGCCCGAGGAGCUCGCCUUCGGGUCCGGAGCGAUCGCCCCGGUCCCCUAGCAGUUGUUGCCUUCUUCUCUAGGCCUACUGAGUGAGCUUCUUGAGCAUCCUCUUAACAGCUUUGGUACUACCUUCUUGUAGGGACUUAUGUUUUGCCAUCAUGUGCUAUUGCCAUAGAGCUUUCUUUCCUUUGGCAUCAUCAGCUUCUGGCUCAUCUUGCAUUAGGA